CAGCCGCCGCGGUAAUACGGAGGGGGCUAGCGUUGUUCGGAAUUACUGGGCGUAAAGCGUACGUAGGCGGCUUUGUAAGUUAGAGGUGAAAGCCCGGAGCUCAACUCCGGAAUUGCCUUUAAGGCUGCAUUGCUUGAAUCGUGGAGAGGUGAGUGGAAUUCCGAGUGUAGAGGUGAAAUUCGUAGAUAUUCGGAAGAACACCAGUGGCGAAGGCGGCUCACUGGACACGUAUUGACGCUGAGGUGCGAAAGCGUGGGGAGCAAACAGGAUUAGAUACCCCCGUAGUCCCUGUCUCUUAUAC
rnacentral:rRNA from 1 species